CGCAGCGCCUCCUUUCCCCUCGCGGCCGUCGCCGCCAGUUCGCCGGGGAAAGGCGUCGGAGGGAGGAGAGUUCAGGGCGGGAGUCAGGACUUGGGGGUCUGAUUCGCACCCUCGCUCGUGUAUGUAUCGUGCCCAAGCGCGGGCUAGACGCCGGGGAGGGGAACGGGCGGUGAUUAAAAGGUGAACAAGACCCUGCCAAGAAGAGUUCACAGUCUAGCGCGCAAGGCUGGCGAGACUCCAGGACUAAGCUCACAGACCCGGGCCGCUGGCCAGCUUCCACUAUGCUUGUCUGAGAGGACUAGACCGGACAGUGGACUUCCGGACAGGAAUGAUGUGCGAAGGAAGACUGCAGAGAGGCAGCUGGAGGAAGAGGCAGCCACCGCGCCCUUCUGCUGUGCACCAGCCUCACCCGGCGGCGGAUCCACUGAGCUAGAUCCCUGGCCCCACAUCUUACUUUAAUACAGCCUGCAAAACUCCAGCAAGGCGGUGCUGCGAAGCCGGCAGAGCCCGCGUCACACCUUACUGCUCCCCGAGAUUGCUCCACAGAGAGCUCAAGGAGAUGGCAAUUCGGCGCUGACGCCGGCUGGCAGC